CCUACGGGUGGCUGCAGUGGGGAAUAUUGCACAAUGGGCGAAAGCCUGAUGCAGCGACGCCGCGUGGAGGAUGAAGGCCUUCGGGUCGUAAACUCCUGUCUGGGGGGAUGAAUUUUUGACAGUACCCCCGGAGGAAGCCCCGGCUAACUACGUGCCAGCAGCCGCGGUAAUACGUAGGGGGCGAGCGUUGUCCGGAAUUACUGGGCGUAAAGCGCGCGCAGGUGGCUUGUUAAGUCAGGUGUCAAAAUGCGGAGCUCAACUCCGCAGCGCACUUGAAACUGGCAGGCUUGAGUGCAGGAGAGGAAAGUGGAAUUCCUAGUGUAGCGGUGAAAUGCGUAGAUAUUAGGAGGAACACCAGUGGCGAAGGCGACUUUCUGGACUGCAACUGACACUGAGGCGCGAAAGCUAGGGGAGCAAACAGGAUUAGAUACCCCAGUAGUC
rnacentral:rRNA from 1 species